AUUAUUAAUAUCAGUAACUAUGGGAACUUAGUAGUAACUUAGCUUCAGAUACAAAAAAACACGAACAAUCUUAACAAAGUUUGUAUUAUGAAAUAACAGAUUGGCUGAACGUCCCUGCUCACCGAGAGCCAAAUGGUCUCUCAGUACUGCAAUUCUUGGAGGAUAUCAUGGGAGGCCAUGUGUUCCCAACACACUAAGGGGAGACCCAAGAGGAAGAGGUGAAGGGCGCUUGGGAGAUGACGAUAUAGUCGACCCUGCAUUAAGGCCAGCCAUUACGUCCAACUUGACAAGAUUCUAUCCAAAUGGCGUCAACUCCGUUUCCCUCAACGAUGAACAAAACAAUAUCGGGGAGAUUGUGCCAAACGAGAAUGAAAGAGGACCGUUUCCAAUACAAGUUGUAAGAGAUGAAUCAAAUGGACAAUAUAGACACAAUGCAUAUGAAAAUCGUAAUGAUCAAAAUGAACGACAGCGUAAUGUUUUUCAAGAAGAAUACUUAGGUGAUGAACAUAUGACUCCACAAAACAUGGAUUUGGGAAGUCUUCCAACAGUAUUAAACAUAUGUGGACUCGUUGUUAUUGGGACACUAAUAGUACUGAAUAUGGUGAAUGGACAAAUUUGAAUUAUUACGAUAUGGACUACAAACUUGAAUAAUAAUAUACAUUUUCUAAAUGAAUGACUGUUUAUUUACA